AGGUAGAUCAAGGACCUGGACAAAGGACCAUGAGUCUGCCUCAUCACAUUCGAGAAAAGGUCUAAGACCAGUUGAGAGGACAACUACAGAGGAGGACCAGGAGUCUGAAUCACAGCUAACCAGAGGUAGAUCAAGGACCUGGACAAAGGACCAUGAGUCUGCCUCAUCACAUCCGAGAAAAGGAGGGUCAAGACCUGUGAAAAAGAGGACACCUACAGAGGACCAGGAGUCUGAUACAUCACAGCCAG